rnacentral:rRNA from 1 species
GACGAACGCUGGCGGCGUGCUUAACACAUGCAAGUCGAACGGAAAGGCCCUGCUUUUGUGGGGUGCUCGAGUGGCGAACGGGUGAGUAACACGUGAGUAACCUGCCCUGGACUUUGGGAUAACUUCAGGAAACUGGGGCUAAUACCGGAUAGGAGCUCCUGCUGCAGGGUGGGGGUUGGAAAGUUUCGGCGGUUGGGGAUGGACUCGCGGCUUAUCAGCUUGUUGGUGGGGUAGUGGCUUACCAAGGCUUUGACGGGUAGCCGGCCUGAGAGGGUGACCGGCCACAUUGGGACUGAGAUACGGCCCAGACUCCUACGGGAGGCAGCAGUGGGGAAUAUUGCACAAUGGGCGGAAGCCUGAUGCAGCAACGCCGCGUGCGGGAUGACGGCCUUCGGGUUGUAAACCGCUUUCGCCUGUGACGAAGCGUGAGUGACGGUAAUGGGUAAAGAAGCACCGGCUAACUACGUG